GGAUGGGAACGUGAUCUGGCUGCGAUAUCUGUCACACCAUUGAUUGCCAGGGGUCAUUUGGCUGAUCUGGCUGGCUAGGCGAGUGUCCCCUUCCUUCCUCACCGCUCAGUUUGCGUCCCUCCCGAAGCUGCACGCUCGGUGGAAGAGGACAACCAUCCUACCGGAGUGUACCAUUCUUCAGUCAAGGGAUUUUGAGAA